GGCAGGGUGGGUGCUGGGGGUCAGGGGGAGCGGGGGGCACAGGAACUGGGUGCAGGGUGUGGGGCAGCACCAGCCACACAGCUCUUGCCACUGUGUCUCCUCUGCUUCAGCCCGAGGCUCUGCAGCAUCACCAUCCUGCUGGGCACUGCCCUCCUUCUGCUGGCACCCAGCAGCACCCAGGCUCUGAGCAGCUCCGGGCGGAAGGGCCUGCCCACGGACUGGGAUUUGGACAAGGAAAUCAUCCCGGGUGUGGAUGUGCUGGAGGAGUGGGAGCUCUCCGAAGAGGUGAAACCAGGUAGAAAGGCUGUGUCCAGAAGGGCCUGGCACCCCCCACAAGUCCAGGUAGAGCCAGAGGAGGAUCGAGACCACCUCCACCACCCCCAGGACGACGCCAGGAAGGUGGAUGUCCGUGAGCCACCCCGGAUGCUGUCCCUGCAGGUGCAGAAUGGCCCAGAGGAGGACCGAGACCAUCUCUACCACAGCUGAGAGCAGAUGUGCCCAGACUGUGAAAUGAGGGGUGGGAGCUACCCCUGGGGCUCCCUGGGGGGACUCAUCCUUCCCUACCCACCCUUGAGGCCCCCCCAAUAAAUCCAGUCCCCUCUCCAAUGUCCUGGUGGGCUCCUCGUUGCUGCCAGAAACCUGCUGCUAAGUACAGGGCCCUAAACCUGAGGGAUCCCCCUCCUUGGGAUUGCCCCAAGACCCCGAGCAGGGUGAGGAUGAUGCCCUGGAACGGGUGACUCAGUGCCACAGGCUGUCCCCUUCCCGGGGGACACACGGAUCUCCACGAGUCUGCUCUUGCCCAGCCCAGCAUCAGAGAGC